rnacentral:rRNA from 1 species
GAUGAACGCUGGCGGCGUGCCUAAUACAUGCAAGUCGAGCGACCAGACGAGGUUCUUGCUCCUCUCACGUUAGCGACGGACGGGUGAGUCACCCGUGGAUACCCUACCUAUAAGAAUGGGAUGACUUCGGCCAAACGGAUCUAAUACCCGAUCAUAUAUUGAAACGCGUGGUUCUUUGGUGCUAGCCCGUUUUGCUGUCCCUUUUAGAUAUUUCCUAGCUGGAUUAGCUAGUUGGUAAGGUAACGGCCUACCAAGGCGACGAUGCGUAGCCGACCUGAGAGGAUGACCGGCCACACUGGAACUGAGACACGGCCCAGACUCCUACGGGAGGCAGCAGUAGGGAAUCUUGGGCAAUGGGCGAAAGCCUGACGGAGCAAUGCCGCGUGAGUGAUGAAGGUCUUCGGGUCGUAAAGCACUGUUAUUAGGGAAGAAAAAAUGUGUAAGAAAACAUGGACGUGAUGACGGUACCUGAUCAGAAAGCAACGGCUAACUACGUG